UUUGCUUUUCAUACCUCUAUGUUCACUUUCUGCAUGGCAGGGGCGCUCUUUGCUUUUCAUACCUCUAUGUUCACUUUCCGCAUUGCGGGGGCGCUCUUUGCUUUUCAUACCUCUAUGUUCACUUUCUGCAUUGCAGGAGCGCUCUUUGCUUUUCAUACCUCUAUGUUCACUUUCCGCAUUGCGGGGGCGCUCUUUGCUUUUCAUACCUCUAUGUUCACUUUCCGCAUUGCGGGGGCGCUCUUUGCUUUUCAUACCUCUAUGUUCCAUUUCCGCAUUGCGGGGGCGCUCUUUACUUUUCAUACUUCUAUGUUCUAUUUCCGCAUUGCAGGGGCGCUCUUUACUUUUCAUACCUCUAUGUUCCUCCUAUCCCGCCUUUUCCCCCUCCGCCUCCGCUCUCUUCUCCCAUUGGUUGUUGCUUGGGAGGUCCCGCCCCUUUCCCCUUCCUUCGCUCCCUCAUUGGUCGAAGCGCGUCCUGGCAGAUAUGUAGUGCGGGGGCGUUUCCCAUCGUAGCCGCAAUAAUACAAAAUAAAGAAUUAUAUAAUAUCAGAGAUAUAUAGUCUUCGAGCUUAUUACUAAUCGUUACGUAUGAUUAUGUUGUUUGAAUAUUAGGUGUAUGGAUGUGUCAGGGUUGGCGACGGAAGGGACGGGUGUGUGAUGGACCUGCCGGGACUUGGGGGCGGGGCAAGGGGCGUGGCCUGGCGCGUGAGAGCCGGGGAAGGGAACAGCCAAGAUGGCGGCCGGGCAAGGAUGGUAAUCGCAAAACAAUGGAAAAGUGAGAAAGCCCCAUCGAAAGAUGCCUGGCUGACCAAAUGGACUGAAAUAAAGGAUAUGGACAAACUUACCUUCUGAAUGAGAAAGAGCAACGGAAGAGCUAUAAGAGCCACGGACUGGUCAAACUUUGAAGACUACCUUGUUACUUCAGAGAAGGGAACCAGCAAGGUUGUAUUCAGAUUUUCUGGGAAGUUGUAGUUUAGGUAAACAUAAUGAAGAUUUUACUGAUUGCAGUACAGUCUCCUUAUCUAUAGAUUUGAUAUGCAUGGUUUUACUUACUGUAGUAAACUCUCCCCUCCAAAGUGUUUGUAGGCCUCUCUAUGUUCUUCACUGCAAUUCUGUGAUAUGUUUCUGGCCCAAAUAUCAGCGAAAUAUAAGGUUUACUUGCAUCCAUGGGGAUCUUAGAAUGGGAGGUAUAUGUAAUAGUUUAACCCUUAAGCUCUUCCUCAUUAAAAAAAUUGCAGGAAAGUCUAGUUAUUUUUCCCCCUCCACAAAUGUCUUGCAGGCAUUACAUUUUUUGUUCUUUUUAAAAUGUAAUACAAUGGUAUAAUUAUCCCCCCCCCCCCCUCCCAAGCACAUCUUCUCUGUUGGUUUCUUCUUUUCUGGGUAGGAGAUAUUACUUUUUGGAGCCAACCCGGGAUUUUAUCAGUAUAUUUAUUGUAUGUGACCUCAUUUGUUUUAUGAUUUGUUUUAUUGUUGAUUGACUUGUUUUAUUGAUAUGUUUUUAUAUUGUCUGAUAUCUGGGCUUGGCCCCAUGUAAGCCGCCCCGAGUCCCUUCGGGGAGAUGGGGCGGGGUAUAAAACUAAAAUUAUUAUUAUUAUUACCUUAAGAAAAGAUGAUAAGAACUAUCUAAUGGGAACAUAAAUGAUUAGUGACAAAGAUCGGAAGUCAACCCCCCCCCCCCAUUGCUAGUGUAUAUCCCCUCUCACAAUCCCUAAUCCAGACACACUUGCCCUGCCCCUGCCCUCCCUUCCCUGUUCCCCUGCCGUAUGUCGUCUUAUGUUUUAUGUUUGAUGUUUUAAAAGAAACUUCUCAAUAAAAUGAUACAAAAAAAUAAAAAAAAUAAACUUAACCAAACCUGACUGUUUAAACAAAAUCAAAUAAACGUGUCAUCCAUAAAUCAAAAUAAAAACACACACUUCUUUACACCAACUUUGGUUGCAAAUGUAUGCAAUUUCCUUGAGAAACCUCUUCCUUCCUUCCCAGGCACCAUUUCUUAAACCCUGAAAGGGAAAACACACGUAAGAGCCGCCUGAAUUCUCACUUGUCUGUCCUUACGGCUGAGUUACAACUCGCUGAGCUUGUUUUGAUUCUGUUUCUAUACAAAACGGUGGCUCCCAUCAUGAAAUCAAUAAAGUUUAUUAUUUCACAACG